rnacentral:rRNA from 2 species
UACGUAGGUGGCGAGCGUUGUCCGGAAUUACUGGGUGUAAAGGGAGUGUAGGCGGGAAGGCAAGUCAGAAGUGAAAAUUAUGGGCUUAACCCAUAACCUGCUUUUGAAACUGUUUUUCUUGAGUGAGGCAGAGGCAAGCGGAAUUCCUAGUGUAGCGGUGAAAUGCGUAGAUAUUAGGAGGAACACCAGUGGCGAAGGCGGCUUGCUGGGCCUUUACUGACGCUGAGGCUCGAAAGCGUGGGGAGCAAACAGG